rnacentral:rRNA from 1 species
UUUCCAGAGAUGGAUUGGUGCCUUCGGGAACUGUGAGACAGGUGCUGCAUGGCUGUCGUCAGCUCGUGUUGUGAAAUGUUGGGUUAAGUCCCGCAACGAGCGCAACCCUUAUCCUUUGUUGCCAGCGAUUAGGUCGGGAACUCAAAGGAGACUGCCAGUGAUAAACUGGAGGAAGGUGGGGAUGACGUCAAGUCAUCAUGGCCCUUACGACCAGGGCUACACACGUGCUACAAUGGCGCAUACAAAGAGAAGCGACCUCGCGAGAGCAAGCGGACCUCAUAAAGUGCGUCGUAGUCCGGAUUGGAGUCUGCAACUCGACUCCAUGAAGUCGGAAUCGCUAGUAAUCGUGGAUCAGAAUGCCACGGUGAAUACGUUCCCGGGCCUUGUACACACCGCCCGUCACACCAUGGGAGUGGGUUGCAAAAGAAGUAGGUAGCUUAACCUUCGGGAGGGCGCUUACCACUUUGUGAUUCAUGACUGGGGUGAAGUCGUAACAAGGUAACCGUAGGGGAACCUGCGGUUGGAUCACCUCCUUACCU